rnacentral:rRNA from 1 species
GACGAACGCUGGCGGCGUGCCUAACACAUGCAAGUCGAGCGAAUGAAGUUCCUUCGGGAACGGAUUUAGCGGCGGACGGGUGAGUAACACGUGGGCAACCUGCCUCAUAGAGGGGAAUAGCCUUCCGAAAGGAAGAUUAAUACCGCAUAAGAUUGUAGCUUCGCAUGAAGCAGCAAUUAAAGGAGCAAUCCGCUAUGAGAUGGGCCCGCGGCGCAUUAGCUAGUUGGUGAAGUAACGGCUCACCAAGGCGACGAUGCGUAGCCGACCUGAGAGGGUGAUCGGCCACAUUGGGACUGAGACACGGCCCAGACUCCUACGGGAGGCAGCAGUGGGGAAUAUUGCACAAUGGGGGAAACCCUGAUGCAGCAACGCCGCGUGAGUGAUGACGGUCUUCGGAUUGUAAAGCUCUGUCUUCAGGGACGAUAAUGACGGUACCUGAGGAGGAAGCCACGGCUAACUACGUGCCAGCAGCCGCGGUAACAC